UAUAAUUGAAAAUUAGACUAUGGACAAUAGGAACUUUUUGGUCCAAUUUGACAUGCAGGAAAAUCUCGUAUCGACUAUUGAUGUCCAUUCACAAGACACCCUGUUAGCAAAUUAUUUAAGUUUGUGAGAAAAAAGAUAAGAAUUAAAGAAAAAAAUGCUGCAGAAGAGAAAGUAUUUACAUUAAUACUAGCCUUUACUGCAAAAAGAAAAAAAUAUCUACCUGAAGCAUAUCAGAUUGAAUGCCACAACAAAAAUAUCCAAGUUCAGAGAGAUGAUCCAGACCCAAUUUAACAACAAAAACAAAUGAGAAUGGGUGUAAAACUGCCAAUGUAGAUAACAUACAACCAGAUUCACCAAUACAUUUAAGUUUAAAUUUACACAUGCCAGAAAAUCCCUGGUUAAACAUAUCUGGAAUGCAAAUUAGGGCUUAACUCUGUCCUCUCACUGAUAGGACCUUUUUGAGAUGAGAUAGGAAUGUAAGACAAUUUUUAAAACAGAAGAGAAACAAUAAUAGAUUAAAAGUACAUUAUAUGCAGGUUCUUAUAAGAAGACAGAAGAAACGCAGAAUUUUAAUGAUUUUGUUCACAGAUUUGCUGAAAAAAAUUCAAUACAGGAAAUGUACAUUCUACAAUGAUACCCACCCACGCAAGACUGUUGCAAGGUCCUGGGUUUCUCUAUGUGGAGAGUGGACGAUCCUGCUGAUUAGAGAACUGGACUGAGUGGCCUAACCAAAUCCUAUCUGUACCAACACAAAACAUCAUUGGGACGCCCUGCCUUCAUGAGGAUUCAAUCCAUUGGUUCAUAGGUCAUUCAAGAAAGUACAUUCAAUGGCAAAUAAUAAAUGCUCUAGUUCUUUAACUUAAAUGAAAGGGUUUCCUUCCCAUGAGUUGAAAAUAUUUAAAAAAUCGUAUUCGAAUCCGUCCGUAGACCUGCUGCACUAUUCUGCAGAAGAAUAUGUUUCCGGAGCUAAAGUACAACUGUUAGAACCAGGGCAAUCGACAAAUUUCAGAUGGGCUUGAGUUAACCAGUGUACUGUAAGCGCAGAACAAAGUAUACGACUUGAAGGGCGCAGUAUCAGCAGAACCACCUAAAUUCUUGUAAGGUUUUCAUGUAUAGUUGGUUUUGUCUUUUAGCAAAGAAUUUGAGAAAUGAGUUU